CCUCUCUCCAGCUUUGGUCCGUCUGGCUUACUGGGCUGUGUUGGGGUUGCGCUGUGGCGGCCAUCUUGAGGGUGCCUCGUGGCUCACCCAGGUGUCUGGCUCAGGCCCCUUGGCAGUAGCUAGUAGUCUGUGCUUCAGUCGCUUAGUUUGGACCGGGAUGUCCCCCACCGGUCCAGGGGGGGGGGAAAGGAGUUAGGAGGUAUGCUGAGCCUGUGGUCUGGCUCUCUAGCGAGGAAAGCGGCCGCCUCUCCUCGGUUCGAUCCCCAGUAGGCCUCAGCAGGUUUUUAGGGUUCCCGGCUCUUGUUAGACGAGAAUCGGGUGGCAAUCGGUUCCUCCGGGUGUCCCCUCCUUGUUUAGCAUCCUCCUGAUAGUAGACGUGCCGGUUUUUAGGGGUUUUUACCCUUAAAUGUGCAGUUUUGGUCAGGAGCUUGGUUCCUGCACGUCUGAUCAGCCUGGAAGCUAGGCUCCGCCCCCCGGUCAUCAUAAAUUUUUAUUAAUAUAUAUUUUUCCCUUUUUAUUUUUAGAUUCAUUAUUUAUGUAUAUUUUUUUCUAUUUAAUUAUACACUUUUUAUAUACACAAGAGUAUAUUUCACUGUUAUUCUUUGAUAUUCCCGACAGCAUAGUAUAUCAAUGAGGUCUGUAAUGUCUAUUUUCAAUCAGACUGUUUGUUUUCAAGGCGACUGUUCGCCUAUUUUGUCUUCUCCCUUUCAUAUAGAUUUUGUGUGAUUGUAUGUGUGUGCGCAUGUUUCUCCCAACAUGCACACGUGCUAUGAUUAUGGCUCCUUUAUCCAUUUGCAAGCUACCUCCGUAUGAACGACUACGUCAUCAGCACUUUCCCCGGACGCACAGGUAGUGCAUCUUUUGCGUUCCACAGUGGAACACACGACAUAAGGUGAAACGGAUUCUUGAAGAUUUCCAGCAUUACAAGAAACAUGCAACAUGAAGAACUACCAGAUCCCUGAGGAAGUCUCACAUUGGACGAAACGUGUUGGAUUGUUAUUUCAUCAAACUUUUAUGGACUUUUAAUUUGAUUUUGUUUUAUCUUCUUUUUUUUACAUAUCUCUCCGGUGUUGAAGUUGGUUUUCCUAGACCCACUACAUCGCCGAGUUCCACCUUGUGUGGAGAUAUGCUCUAGACUCUCUUCGUGUCUGUAAGUGCAACCUAAUAAAUUAUAUUCUAGUUGUAAUUUUA